rnacentral:rRNA from 1 species
GAUGAACGCUGGCGGCGUGCCUAAUACAUGCAAGUAGAACGCUGAAGGAGGAGCUUGCUCUUCUGGAUGAGUUGCGAACGGGUGAGUAACGCGUAGGUAACCUGCCUGGUAGCGGGGGAUAACUAUUGGAAACGAUAGCUAAUACCGCAUGACAACAGUUAUUGCAUGAUAACUGUUUAAAAGGGGCAACUGCUCCACUACCAGAUGGACCUGCGUUGUAUUAGCUAGUUGGUGAGGUAACGGCUCACCAAGGCGACGAUACAUAGCCGACCUGAGAGGGUGAACGGCCACACUGGGACUGAGACACGGCCCAGACUCCUACGGGAGGCAGCAGUAGGGGAACUUCGGCAAUGGGCGGAAGUCUGACCGGGCAACGCCGCGUGAGGGAAGAAGGGUUUCGGAUCGGAAAGCUCUGUUGUAAGAGAAGAACGAGUGUGAGAGUGGAAAGUUCACACUGUGACGGUAUCUUACCAGAAAGGGACGGCUAACUACGUG